CCCGAGUAGCUGCGAUUACAGACAUUUGCCACCAUGCCCGGCACAGCACAGCACCGCACAUCUCCAGUCGGACUGGCUACAUUUCAAGGGCUCAACCAUCACGCGUUACCAGUGGCUACUGCAUCAGACUGUGCAGUGCUAGAUGGGGAGUCAGAAGAGAAACCAAGUGAUUUCCAUGUCAAGUGGUGAACAGGCUAAGAAGAAAAGUAAAUUGGGGAAAGAGCAUGGGGAAUGUGGGGGUUGCUGUUUGAAAGAGGAUGGUUGGGAAGGCUGAAGAGCUGUCAUUCGCAGAGGGACCCAAAAGAGGUCCACUUACAGCUGGAUUUACUUCCACCUCUGCCACCUGUG
rnacentral:lncRNA from 1 species